rnacentral:rRNA from 1 species
GAUGAACGCUGGCGGCGUGCCUAAUACAUGCAAGUCGAGCGAACGGACGAGAAGCUUGCUUCUCUGAUGUUAGCGGCGGACGGGUGAGUAACACGUGGAUAACCUACCUAUAAGACUGGGAUAACUUCGGGAAACCGUAGCUAAUACCGGAUAAUAUUUUGAACCGCAUGGUUCAAAAGUGAAAGACGGUCUUGCUGUCACUUAUAGAUGGAUCCGCGCUGCAUUAGCUAGUUGGUAAGGUAACGGCUUACCAAGGCAACGAUGCAUAGCCGACCUGAGAGGGUGAUCGGCCACACUGGAACUGAGACACGGUCCAGACUCCUACGGGAGGCAGCAGUAGGGAAUCUUCCGCAAUGGGCGAAAGCCUGACGGAGCAACGCCGCGUGAGUGAUGAAGGUCUUCGGAUCGUAAAACUCUGUUAUUAGGGAAGAACAUAUGUGUAAGUAACUGUGCACAUCUUGACGGUACCUAAUCAGAAAGCCACGGCUAACUACGUGCCAGCAGCCGCGGUAAUACGUAGGUGGCAAGCGUUAUCCGGAAUUAUUGGGCGUAAAGCGCGCGUAGGCGGUUUUUUAAGUCUGAUGUGAAAGCCCGCGGCUCAACCGUGGAGGGUCAUUGGAAACUGGAAAACUUGAGUGCAGAAGAGGAAAGUGGAAUUCCAUGUGUAGCGGUGAAAUGCGCAGAGAUAUGGAGGAACACCAGUGGCGAAGGCGACUUUCUGGUCUGUAACUGACGCUGAUGUGCGAAAGCGUGGGGAUCAAACAGGAUUAGAUACCCUGGUAGUCCACGCCGUAAACGAUGAGUGCUAAGUGUUAGGGGGUUUCCGCCCCUUAGUGCUGCAGCUAACGCAUUAAGCACUCCGCCUGGGGAGUACGACCGCAAGGUUGAAACUCAAAGGAAUUGACGGGGACCCGCACAAGCGGUGGGGCAUGUGGUUUAAUUCGAAGCAACGCGAAGAACCUUACCAAAUCUUGACAUCCUUUGACAACUCUAGAGAUAGAGCCUUCCCCUUCGGGGGACAAAGUGACAGGUGGUGCAUGGUUGUCGUCAGCUCGUGUCGUGAGAUGUUGGGUUAAGUCCCGCAACGAGCGCAACCCUUAAGCUUAGUUGCCAUCAUUAAGUUGGGCACUCUAAGUUGACUGCCGGUGACAAACCGGAGGAAGGUGGGGAUGACGUCAAAUCAUCAUGCCCCUUAUGAUUUGGGCUACACACGUGCUACAAUGGACAAUACAAAGGGCAGCGAAACCGCGAGGUCAAGCAAAUCCCAUAAAGUUGUUCUCAGUUCGGAUUGUAGUCUGCAACUCGACUACAUGAAGCUGGAAUCGCUAGUAAUCGUAGAUCAGCAUGCUACGGUGAAUACGUUCCCGGGUCU